AAUGAACGUUGGCGGCGUGGAUUAGGCAUGCAAGUCGUGCGAGAACCGUAGCAAUACGGGGACAGCGGCGAAAGGGAGAGUAACGCGUGGAUACCUACCCCCAGGACCAGGAUAGCCGCGGGAAACUGCGGGUAAUACUGGAUAAUGUCUCCGGACCGAAGGUGUGAUUCCGCCCGGGGAUGGGUCCGCGUCCUAUUAGCUAGUUGGUAGGGUAAUGGCCUACCAAGGCAAAGAUGGGUAUGGGGUGUGAGAGCAUGCCCCCACUCACUGGGACUGAGACACUGCCCAGACACCUACGGGUGGCUGCAGUCGAGGAUCUUCGGCAAUGGGCGCAAGCCUGACCGAGCGACGCCGCGUGCGGGAUGAAGGCCUUCGGGUUGUAAACCGCUGUCAGAGGGGAGGAAAUGCCGUGGGGUUCUCUCCACGGUUUGACCUAUCCUCAGAGGAAGGACGGGCUAAGUUCGUGCCAGCAGCCGCAGUAAUAC
rnacentral:rRNA from 1 species